CUACGGGGUGCUCCAGUGGGGAAUAUUGCACAAUGGGGGAAACCCUGAUGCAGCAACGCCGCGUGGAGGAUGACACAUUUCGGUGCGUAAACUCCUUUUAUAGGUCAAGAUAAUGACGGUAGCCUAUGAAUAAGCGCCGGCUAACUCCGUGCCAGCAGCCGCGGUAAUACGGAGGGCGCAAGCGUUACUCGGAAUCACUGGGCGUAAAGAGCAUGUAGGCGGGUUAAUAAGUCAGAAGUGAAAUCCAAUAGCUCAACUAUUGAACUGCUUUUGAAACUGUUAACCUAGAGUGUGGGAGAGGUAGAUGGAAUUUCUGGUGUAGGGGUAAAAUCCGUAGAGAUCAGAAGGAAUACCGAUUGCGAAGGCGAUCUACUGGAACAUUACUGACGCUGAGAUGCGAAAGCGUGGGAAGCAAACAGGAUUAGAUACCCGCGUAGUC
rnacentral:rRNA from 1 species